GUGUCAGCAGCCGCGGUAAUACGUAGGGUGCAAGCGUUAUCCGGAAUUAUUGGGCGUAAAGAGCUCGUAGGCGGUUUGUCGCGUCUGCUGUGAAAACCGGAGGCUCAACCUCCGGCCUGCAGUGGGUACGGGCAAACUAGAGUGCGGUAGGGGAGAUUGGAAUUCCUGGUGUAGCGGUGGAAUGCGCAGAUAUCAGGAGGAACACCGAUGGCGAAGGCAGAUCUCUGGGCCGUAACUGACGCUGAGGAGCGAAAGCGUGGGGAGCGAACAGGAUUAGAAACCCCCGUAGUCC
rnacentral:rRNA from 1 species